UACGGAGGGUGCUAGCGUUGUUCGGAAUUACUGGGCGUAAAGCGCGUGUAGGCGGAUCCAGAAGUCGGGUGUGAAAGCCCUGGGCUUAACCCAGGAAGUGCGCCCGAAACCAUGGGUCUUGAGGUCCGGAGGGGAUCGGGGAAUUCCCAGUGUAGAGGUGAAAUUCGUAGAUAUUGGGAGGAACACCGGUGGCGAAGGCGCCGAUCUGGACGGAUUCUGACGCUGAGACGCGAAAGCGUGGGUAGCAAACAGGAUUAGAUACCCUGGUAGUCCACGCCGUAAACGAUGCACACUAGGUGUCGCAGGUAUUGACCCCCGCGGUGCCGACGCAAACGCAUUAAGUGUGCCGCCUGGGAAGUACGGCCGCAAGGUUGAA
rnacentral:rRNA from 1 species